rnacentral:rRNA from 1 species
GGGCUGCACGCGCUCUACACUGAAGUGGGUAACGGGCGAAUGAGAGCCAACGCGGGGUAACUCGUUAGUAACUCUUCCCUACUCCGAAGGGAGUGGGUAAACCCUCAAUCCAUUUCGUGCUAGGGAUCACGCAUUGCAAUUAUUGCCUGUGAACGAGGAAUCCCUUGUAAGUGUGAGUCACUAGCUCGCGUUGAAUACGUCCCUGCCCUUUGUACACACCGCCCGUCGCUACUACCGAUUGGGUAGUUUAGUGAGGACUUUGGAGGUUUAGGGGGAGUCGGGCAACCGAUGACGCCUUAACUGAAAUUGCCCGAACUAGGCUAUCUAGAGGAAGUAAAAGUCGUAACAAGGUCUCCGUAGGUGAACCUGCGGAGGGAUCAUUACCAAUCGCCUUGAAGCGAAGAUGUAGGCACAUGCGAGUAUUCCGCUUAACCGCGUAGAGCUCAGCAGCCGCCCUUAAGAUCAGUAGAGUAUUCCGCUUCGGCGAUGACUCGGCGUACGAUCUUGGCAGAAGUAGAGUAUUCCGCUACGGCGAUGACUCUGCAGCCUUAAGUCAGUAGAGUAUUCCGCUUCGGCGAUGACUCGGCAGACUGCAGUGGAUAGCGGGGGGAUGUCGCUGAAAGUACGCGUUACCUUUCUCGUUACUCCAGGUGCCUCGAAGCACAAGUAGUGGUUCAUAGCGGCCUCAUGGCUCUGUGAGCGCGACUAGAUGGGUCUUCGGACUCGGACCUUUGAGUGUUGUGGAAGAGUACAAAGCUACCUGAGGCCGGCCGUGUCGGUUCUGUGACGGCUGCUUUUGCUCGACUGCCUCUCGCCAUACCAACCUUUGUCUAAAUAACUCAGUACAACUGUUAGCCGUGGAUCACUCGGCUGGUGGAUCGAUGAAGAACGUAGCUAAGUACGUUAACCGGGUUGAUGUGCAUAAUAGCGCUGAUGCCUUGGUCUUUGAACGCACAUUGCGGGCAAGGAAUAACUUCCUUGCCCUUAUCUGUGUGAGGGUUGUUUUGUCAAUUAACAAUGUUUAAGGCGUGAUGAUAGCAAUAUCAGGCGCUGUUUGUCGCAACUCUUGAAGGAAAGGUCUUUGACUUAGCGAAGCCCGAGCGUGUCAGCCGGGUUGCGGUCUUAGAUUGAGAAGUGCUCCUUAACUUGCUUAACCUANNNNNUAGCGAGCUCGGUUUUACCGGCUAAUCAGCGGGGUGCAGUUCUGGUCGUACACGGUUCUCUGAACUGCGUAGCCCUAGCGAGCUCGGUUUUACCGGCUAAGUCUUGGGAGUUCCAGUGUGUUUCUCUUCUUAUGCCUUGACUGGCGUUGCUCUCGCGUUAAGCAGGGCUGUCGUCUUGUGCUUGAGUGGCUGUCUUUGCGUGCUAAGCCCGUGUGUAUGCUGGGUGCCGCGUAGACUGUCUCUCGUCGUUGCUACCCAACUCCUAAAUUACUCACAACCUCACAUCAGGUAAGAUAACCCGCUGAACUUAAGCAUAUCAAUAAGCGGAGGAAAAGAAAGCAAAUGCGAUUCCCUUAGUAACGGCGAGUGAAAGGGGAGAAGCCCAUCGUGAAGGCCUGUUUCCGUGAGGACUCGGGCGAUGCCACGAUAGUUAAGCGGGUAAGCGGUUGUUGGACUAGGGCUGUAAAUCUGCUUAAGUGCAGUGCCAUAGAAGGUCGAAGCCCUGUUUCGGCCCUGGUCCUGUUGCUGCGCUACCGUUUAACAAGAGUCGGGUUACUUGAAAGUGUAACCUAAAGAUGCAGGUAGAUCCCUGCUAAGGCUAAAUACGUCCACCAGACCGAUAGCAAACAAGUACCGUGAGGGAAAGUUGCAAAGUACUUUGAAGAGAGAGUUAAAAGAACGUGAAACGGCUAACGGGUAAACGGUUGUAGUGGUCGGAAUAGUCGGCUGGCUUUCAUGAUUCCUGGGUUAAGGGUCUCUCUCUGAGAGAGCCUGUCCCGUGUAGGAGUCUGCAUUAGCCCGGUCGGUGCUGUCCUGCGGCGCUAGGGACGUGUGUGCUCGGCUCGCGAGGAGUUGUCGUGCGUUCAUUCCUUCGGGAGUGGAUGAUAAGCGCGGCUGCCUCGUGUGCUAGCGGUACUGUUCUUAGUGCGGUAACCCUUGACAGGGUACGUGAUGUGUGUCGAAGGCGCUGACCUGCGUUGGAGACGGGCUGUAGGUGUAAACCGAAUGCCUUUCUUCAGCGCAAUAGGUGCUUGAGACAGGCGUUACCGCAG